GAACUGAUAUCGGGGAUGUACAGAGACUUGAGCCCCAGACUUUCGAUGCUGAUAUCUCCGGCUCUGUACAUCCGAUUGCCCCGCUUUUUGCAGGGAUCCUAGGGGGGACCGGAGCUAUUAAUCCAUAUAAACUGUAACCCUGUAUGCCCUUCCUGUCCUGGGGUGCUGAGGCCCAAAGUUCACCCCUCCGUAUGUAAUGUGUACUCAGGCUUGUCCAUGUGUCCUGUUGGUAUCUCCCAGAGUGGGAGAUGGUUGUCUGUUC